rnacentral:snoRNA from 1 species
UCGAUCUCCAUAGGAUCUGUUCUGUAGGAUCGUACCGCUGCAUCCUUCACCAAAAAGGAGGCAUGCACUUCAGUCUGGUUGAUGACGCUGGGCCAGUGGAGGAUCGUUCCUACCAAGCUUUGCGCUGGUGGUCAGGAUGGCCCAGUUGUCGUCUGACAGACU